ACGGGUGAGUAACGCGUGGGAAUCUACCGUACCCUACGGAAUAGCUCUGGGAAACUGGAAGUAAUACCGUAUACGCCCUAACGGGGAAAGAUUUAUCGGGGUAUGAUGAGCCCGCGUUGGAUUAGCUAGUUGGUGGGGUAAAGGCCUACCAAGGCGACGAUCCAUAGCUGGUCUGAGAGGAUGAUCAGCCACAUUGGGACUGAGACACGGCCCAAACUCCUACGGGAGGCAGCAGUGGGGAAUAUUGGACAAUGGGCGCAAGCCUGAUCCAGCCAUGCCGCGUGAGUGAUGAAGGUCUUAGGAUUGUAAAGCUCUUUCAACGGUGAAGAUAAUGACGGUAACCGUAGAAGAAGCCCCGGCUAACUUCGUGCCAGCAGCCGCGGUAAUACGAAGGGGGCUAGCGUUGUUCGGAAUUACUGGGCGUAAAGCGCACGUAGGCGGGUAUUUAAGUCAGGGGCGAAAUCCCGCAGCUCAACUGCGGAACUGCCUUUGAUACUGGGUAUCUUGAGUAUGGAAGAGGUAAGUGGAAUUGCGAGU
rnacentral:rRNA from 1 species